GAUGAACGCUGACAGAAUGCUUAACACAUGCAAGUCGACUGUGGCUGACGGGUGAGUGACGCGUAAAGAACUUGCCUCACGGAUAGGACCAACAUUUGGAAACGAAUGCUAAUGCCUGAUACUGUGAGAGAGCUUUGCGUCCCAUUAGCUAGUUGGAGAGGUAACGGCUCACCAAGGCGAGGAUGGUUAGCCGGCCUGGGAGGGUGAUGGGCCACAAGGGGACUGGGACGCGGGCCUUACUGCUACGGGAGGCAGCGGUGGAGAACAGUGGGCGAUGGACCAAAGUCUGAUCAAGCAAUUCGGUGUGCACGAUGCAGUUUUAGGGAUGUAAAGUGCUUUCAGUUACGAAGCGGUACCAACAGAAGAAGUGACGGCUAAAUACGUGCCAGCAGCCGCGGUAAUAC
rnacentral:rRNA from 1 species